rnacentral:rRNA from 1 species
UACGUAGGGUGCGAGCGUUAAUCGGAAUUACUGGGCGUAAAGCGUGCGCAGGCGGUUGUGCAAGACAGGUGUGAAAUCCCCGGGCUUAACCUGGGAACUGCACUUGUGACUGCACGGCUGGAGUGCGGCAGAGGGGGAUGGAAUUCCACGUGUAGCAGUGAAAUGCGUAGAGAUGUGGAGGAACACCAAUGGCGAAGGCAGCCCCCUGGGUCGAUACUGACGCUCAUGCACGAAAGCGUGGGUAGCAAACAGGAUUAGAAACCCCUGUAGU